GACAGAGGGUGCAAACGUUGUUCGGAAUUACUGGGCGUAAAGCGCGUGUAGGCGGCUUGGCAAGUCGGGUGUGAAAGCCCUGGGCUCAACCUAGGAAGUGCACUCGAAACUGCUUCGCUUGAAUGUCGGAGAGGAAAGCGGAAUUCUCGGUGUAGAGGUGAAAUUCGUAGAUAUCGAGAGGAACACCGGUGGCGAAGGCGGCUUUCUGGACGAUGAUUGACGCUGAGACGCGAAAGCGUGGGGAGCAAACAGG
rnacentral:rRNA from 1 species